rnacentral:rRNA from 1 species
CGGCAAUGGACGAAAGUCUGACCGAGCAACGCCGCGUGAGUGAAGAAGGUUUUCGGAUCGUAAAGCUCUGUUGUAAGUCAAGAACGUGUGUGAGAGUGGAAAGUUCACACAGUGACGGUAGCUUACCAGAAAGGGACGGCUAACUACGUGCCAGCAGCCGCGGUAAUACGUAGGUCCCGAGCGUUGUCCGGAUUUAUUGGGCGUAAAGGGAGCGCAGGCGGUCAGGAAAGUCUGGAGUAAAAGGCUAUGGCUCAACCAUAGUGUGCUCUGGAAACUGUCUGACUUGAGUGCAGAAGGGGAGAGUGGAAUUCCAUGUGUAGCGGUGAAAUGCGUAGAUAUAUGGAGGAACACCAGUGGCGAAAGCGGCUCUCUGGUCUGUCACUGACGCUGAGGCUCGAAAGCGUGGGUAGCGAACAGGAUUAGAUACCCUGGUAGUCCACGCCGUAAACGAUGAGUGCUAGGUGUUAGGCCCUUUCCGGGGCUUAGUGCCGGAGCUAACGCAAUAAGCACUCCGCCUGGGGAGUACGACCGCAAGGUUGAAACUCAAAGGAAUUGACGGGGGCCCGCACAAGCGGUGGAGCAUGUGGUUUAAUUCGAAGCA